ensembl:rRNA 5S_rRNA 5S ribosomal RNA
GUCUAUGGCCAUACCACACUGAACUUGCCCGAUCUCGUCGGAUCUCGGAAGCUAAGUGGUGUCGGGCCUGGUUAGUACUUGGAUGGGAGACCAUCUGGGUAUACUGGGUGCUGCAGGCC